UACGGAGGGUGCAAGCGUUAUCCGGAUUCACUGGGUUUAAAGGGAGCGUAGGUGGGUUGGUAAGUCAGUGGUGAAAUCCCCGAGCUUAACUUGGGAACUGCCAUUGAUACUAUCAGUCUUGAAUACUGUGGAGGUUAGCGGAAUAUGUCAUGUAGCGGUGAAAUGCUUAGAUAUGACAUAGAACACCAAUUGCGAAGGCAGCUCGCUACACGAAUAUUGACUCUGAGGCACGAAAGCGUGGGGAUCAAACAGG
rnacentral:rRNA from 1 species